rnacentral:rRNA from 1 species
GGCUCAGGACGAACGCUGGCGGCGUGCUUAACACAUGCAAGUCGAACGGAGAUCUACAGCAGAAAUUUUCGAAUGGACGCUGUAGAUUUUAGUGGCGGACGGGUGAGUAACGCGUGGGCAACCUGCCCAUAAGUGGGGGAUAACAACCGGAAACGGUUGCUAAUACCGCAUAAACUAACGAAGACACAAGUUUUUGUUAGCAAAGGUGGCCUCUUAACAAUGCUAUCGCUUAUGGAUGGGCCCGCGUCUGAUUAGCUAGUUGGUAGAGUAACAGCCUACCAAGGCAACGAUCAGUAGCCGGCCUGAGAGGGUGGACGGCCACACUGGGACUGAGACACGGCCCAGACUCCUACGGGAGGCAGCAGUGGGGAAUAUUGCGCAAUGGGGGAAACCCUGACGCAGCGACGCCGCGUGAGCGAAGAAGGCCUUAGGGUUGUAAAGCUUUGUUUUAAGGGACGAAAGUAUGUGAGCGUAACUACUCAUGUAUUGACGGUACCUUAAGAGUAAGCCCCGGCUAACUACGUGCCAGCAGCCGCGGUAAGACGUAGGGGGCGAGCGUUGUCCGGAAUUACUGGGCGUAAAGGGCAUGCAGGCGGAAAUCUAAGUCAGGUGUGAAAGACCGGGGCUUAACCCCGGGGUUGCACUUGAAACUAGAUUUCUUGAGGGCAGGAGAGGAAAGCGGAAUUCCUGGUGUAGCGGUGAAAUGCGUAGAAAUCAGGAGGAACACCAGUGGCGAAGGCGGCUUUCUGGACUGACCCUGACGCUGAGAUGCGAAAGCGUGGGUAGCAAACAGGAUUAGAUACACUGGUAGUCCACGCUGUAAACUAUGGAUACUAGGUGUGGGAGGUAUCGACCCCUUCUGUGCCGCAGCAAACGCAAUAAGUAUCCCGCCAUGGGGAGUAC